rnacentral:rRNA from 1 species
UACGGGGGGAGCAAGCGUUGUUCGGAUUUACUGGGCGUAAAGGGCGCGUAGGCGGUCGUGACAAGUCACUUUUGAAAUCUCCGGGCUUAACCCGGAACGGUCAAGUGAUACUGUCGGACUAGAGUACAGAAGGGGCAACUGGAAUUCCCGGUGUAGCAGUGAAAUGCGUAGAGAUCGGGAGGAACACCAGUGGCGAAGGCGACUACCUGGACCAGCACUGACACUGAGGCACGAAAGCGUGGGGAGCAAACAGG